GACGAACGCUGGCGGCGUGCUUAACACAUGCAAGUCGAGCGGUAAGGCCCUUUUGGGGGUACACGAGCGGCGAACGGGUGAGUAACACGUGGGUGACCUGCCCUCAGCUCUGGGAUAAGCCUGGGAAACUGGGUCUAAUACUGGAUAUGACCUUUCCUCGCAUGGGGUUGGGUGGAAAGUUUUUCGGCUGGGGAUGGGCCCGCGGCCUAUCAGCUUGUUGGUGGGGUGAUGGCCUACCAAGGCGACGACGGGUAGCCGGCCUGAGAGGGCGACCGGCCACACUGGGACUGAGACACGGCCCAGACUCCUACGGGAGGCAGCAGUGGGGAAGUAUUGCGCAAUGGGCGGAAGCCUGACGCAGCGACGCCGCGUGGGGGAUGACGGCCUCGG
rnacentral:rRNA from 1 species